CGCGUAGGUGGUUUGUUAAGUCGGAUGUGAAAGCCCCGGGCUCAACCUGGGAACUGCACCCGAUACUGGCCGACUAGAGUGCGGGAGAGGGAGGUAGAAUUCCACGUGUAGCGGUGAAAUGCGUAGAUAUGUGGAGGAAUACCGGUGGCGAAGGCGGCCUCCUGGCCUGACACUGACGCUGAGGUGCGAAAGCGUGGGGAGCAAACA
rnacentral:rRNA from 1 species